CCUACGGGGGGCAGCAGUGGGGGAUAUCGCACAAUGGGGGAAACCCUGAUGCAGCGACGCCGCGUGGGCGAAGAAGUAUUUCGGUAUGUAAAGCCCUAUCAGCAGGGAAGAAGAAAUGACGGUACCUGAGUAAGAAGCACCGGCUAAAUACGUGCCAGCAGCUGCGGUAAUACGUAUGGUGCAAGCGUUAUCCGGAUUUACUGGGUGUAAAGGGAGCGCAGGCGGCACGGCAAGCCUGAUGGGAAAGCCCGGGGCCCAACCGCGGGACUGCAGUGGGAACUACCGGGCUGGAGUGCCGGAGAGGUAGGCGGAAUUCCUAGUGUAGCGGUGAAAUGCGUAGAUAUUAGGAGGAACACCAGUGGCGAAGGCGGCCUACUGGACGGUGACUGACGCUGAGGCUCGAAAGCGUGGGGAGCAAACAGGAUUAGAUACCCUGGUAGUC
rnacentral:rRNA from 1 species